GUAUAAGAGACAGCAGUCGCCGCGGGAAUACAGAGGGUGCAAGCGUUAAUCGGAAUUACUGGGCGUAAAGCGCGCGUAGGUGGUUUGUUAAGUUGGAUGUGAAAGCCCCGGGCUCAACCUGGGAACUGCAUACAAAACUGGCAAGCUAGAGUACGGUAGAGGGUGGUGGAAUUUCCUGUGUAGCGGUGAAAUGCGUAGAUAUAGGAAGGAACACCAGUGGCGAAGGCGACCACCUGGACUGAUACUGACACUGAGGUGCGAAAGCGUGGGGAGCAAACAGGAUUAGAUACCCCCGUAGUCCCUGUCUCUUAUAC
rnacentral:rRNA from 1 species